UCACUUUCAUGAGAACAAACAAAUGGUCAGAAAGCAUAGCAGCAAUAUUUCAUGCAAAUUCAUCUGUUUCACAACAGAAAUCCCUUUAAAUAGAGCUUAAGAAGGCCACAAUCAAUUGCUUCAAAAGACUUUAGCAGAAUAACUAUCAUCAUCAAGAUGCAUGAGGUCAGCAGUUUACAACAAUAUUUGCAUGCAAUUGGAGGACCUGGUUGUCAGGCCUCUGAGCCCAAGCCUGCACGUAUACAUCCAGAUGGCCUGAAACAAGUGAAGAAUCACAAAAGAAGAGAAAAUGGCCGGUUCCUGUCUUAACUGCUGACAUUCCACCAUUGUGAUUUGUUCCUGCCCCACCUUAACUGAGCACUUAACCUUGUGAAAUUCCUUCUCCUGGCUCAGAAUCUCCCCCACUGAGUACCUAGUGAACCCCACCCCUGCACAUAAGAGAAAAACCCCCUUUGACUGUAAUUUUCCACUACCCACCCAAAUCCCAUAAAGCAGCCCAAACCCUGUCUCCCUUUGCUGACUCCUUUUUCAGACUCAACCCACCUGCACCCAGGUGAAAUAAACAGCCUUGUUGCUCUCCCAAA